GAUGAACGCUGGCGGCGUGUCUAAUACAUGCAAGUCGAGCGAACAGACGAGGAGCUUGCUCCUCUGACGUUAGCGGCGGACGGGUGAGUAACACGUGGAUAACCUACCUAUAAGACUGGGAUAACUUCGGGAAACCGGAGCUAAUACCGGAUAAUAUAUUGAACCGCAUGGUUCAAUAGUGAAAGACGGUUUUGCUGUCACUUAUAGAUGGAUCCGCGCCGCAUUAGCUAGUUGGUAAGGUAACGGCUUACCAAGGCAACGAUGCGUAGCCGACCUGAGAGGGUGAUCGGCCACACUGGAACUGAGACACGGUCCAGACUCCUACGGGAGGCGGCAGUAGGGAAUCUUCCGCAAUGGGCGAAAGCCUGACGGAGCAACGCCGCGUGAGUGAUGAAGGUCUUCGGAUCGUAAAACUCUGUUAUUAGGGAAGAACAAAUGUGUAAGUAACUAUGCACGUCUUGACGGUACCUAAUCAGAAAGCCACGGCUAACUACGUG
rnacentral:rRNA from 1 species